GACGAACGCUGGCGGCUUUCUUACCACCUGCAAGUCGAACUGCAAGGCCCUGCUUGCAGGGUACUCGAGUGGCGAACGGGUGAGUAACACGUGGGUGAUCUGCCCUGCACUUCGGGAUAAGCCUGGGAAACUGGGUCUAAUACCGGAUAGGAGCCAUUUUUAGUGUGAUGGUUGGACAGUUUUUUCGGUGUAGGAUGAGCUCGCGGCCUAUCAGCUUGUUGGUGGGGUAAUGGCCUACCAAGGCGGCGACGGGUAGCCGGCCUGAGAGGGUGGACGGCCACAUUGGGACUGAGAUACGGCCCAGACUCCUACGGGAGGCAGCAGUGGGGAAUAUUGCACAAUGGGCGCAAGCCUGAUGCAGCGACGCCGCGUGGGGGAUGACGGACGGCGGGGUGUAAACUCCUUUCGCUAGGGACGAAGCUUUUUGUGACGGUACCUAGAUAAGAAGCAAGGGCUAACUACGUG
rnacentral:rRNA from 1 species